AAACUGAAGAGUUUGAUCCUGGCUCAGAUUGAACGCUGGCGGCAUGCCUAACACAUGCAAGUCGAACGGAAACGAUGGGAGCUUGCUCCCAGGCGUCGAGUGGCGGACGGGUGAGUAAUGCUUAGGAAUCUACCCAGUAGCGGGGGAUAGCCCGGGGAAACUCGGAUUAAUACCGCAUACGCCCUACGGGGGAAAGCAGGGGAUCUUCGGACCUUGCACUAUUGGAUGAGCCUAAGUCGGAUUAGCUUGUUGGUGAGGUAAAGGCUCACCAAGGCGACGAUCCGUAGCUGGUCUGAGAGGACGAUCAGCCACACUGGGACUGAGACACGGCCCAGACUCCUACGGGAGGCAGCAGUGGGGAAUAUUGGACAAUGGGGGAAACCCUGAUCCAGCAAUGCCGCGUGUGUGAAGAAGGCCUGCGGGUUGUAAAGCACUUUCAGUAGAGAAGAAAAGCCUGGGGAUAAUACCCUCGGGUCUUGACGUUACCUACAGAAGAAGCUCCGGCUAACUCCGUGCCAGCAGCCGCGGUAAUACGGAGGGAGCGAGCGUUAAUCGGAAUUACUGGGCGUAAAGCGCACGUAGGUGGCUUUGUAAGUCGGAUGUGAAAGCCCUGGGCUUAACCUGGGAAUGGCAUUCGAUACUGCAUCGCUAGAGUAUGGUAGAGGGAAGUGGAAUUUCCGGUGUAGCGGUGAAAUGCGUAGAUAUCGGAAGGAACACCAGUGGCGAAGGCGACUUCCUGGGCCAAUACUGACACUGAGGUGCGAAAGCGUGGGGAGCAAACAG
rnacentral:rRNA from 1 species